rnacentral:rRNA from 1 species
GCGCGCGUAGGCGGUUUCUUAAGUCUGAUGUGAAAGCCCACGGCUCAACCGUGGAGGGUCAUUGGAAACUGGGAAACUUGAGUGCAGAAGAGGAAAGUGGAAUUCCAUGUGUAGCGGUGAAAUGCGCAGAGAUAUGGAGGAACACCAGUGGCGAAGGCGACUUUCUGGUCUGUAACUGACGCUGAUGUGCGAAAGCGUGGGGAUCAAACAGGAUUAGAAACCCUNGUAGUC